rnacentral:lncRNA from 1 species
AGUGGCCAUUAUAAGAGGUUUGACUGUAUAUAAAAUAUAUAUUUAUAAACAUUUUUGUAUUCAUUUAUAGUAUAUAUUAUAUCACAUCGAAUAAAAUCGUAUUUUUCAAUAUACAGUAUUUCAGUGCUUAAAGUUAGGAUGUUUCUUAUACCUCAAGUUACAUAGAAGACUCGCAUGAAUCUGUUGCCAACAGGAAAAGUAUGAUGUUCAAGAGGAAAAAAUUCUAAUGCUCGUUACACUUCUAAAGUAAUGAUAACCAACUUUUCCUUGGAAAUCUAUUUUUAUAAGUCAGAGUGAAUAUCCAAUUAUUGUUUCUUUCGAUAAAUAAGAAAGAAGAACAAUAAAUGAGAAGACACUUUAUCAGAUUUUUAUAAAUGGACAAAAUAGUUUAACUUUUAACUGAAACAAAUUAUGAUGAGUCGUACUUUAUUGCAUUUCUCCAAGCCAAAAAUAUCUUAAAUUCCGA